rnacentral:rRNA from 1 species
UACGGGGGGGGGCAAGCGUUGUUCGGAAUUACUGGGCGUAAAGGGCUCGUAGGCGGCCAACUAAGUCGGACGUGAAAUCCCUCGGCUUAACUGAGGAACUGCGUCCGAUACUGGAUGGCUUGAGUGUGGGAGAGGGAUGCGGAAUUCCAGGUGUAGCGGUGAAAUGCGUAGAUAUCUGGAGGAACACCGGUGGCGAAGGCGGCAUCCUGGACCACGACUGACGCUGAGUGAGCGAAAGCCAGGGGAGCAAACGGG